AUUGAACGCUGGCGGCAGGCCUAACACAUGCAAGUCGAGCGGAUGAAGGGAGCUUGCUCCUGGAUUCAGCGGCGGACGGGUGAGUAAUGCCUAGGAAUCUGCCUGGUAGUGGGGGAUAACGUCCGGAAACGGGCGCUAAUACCGCAUACGUCCUGAGGGAGAAAGUGGGGGAUCUUCGGACCUCACGCUAUCAGAUGAGCCUAGGUCGGAUUAGCUAGUUGGUGGGGUAAAGGCCUACCAAGGCGACGAUCCGUAACUGGUCUGAGAGGAUGAUCAGUCACACUGGAACUGAGACACGGUCCAGACUCCUACGGGAGGCAGCAGUGGGGAAUAUUGGACAAAGGGCGAAAGCCUGAUCCAGCCAUGCCGCUUGUGUGAAGAAGGUCUUCGGAUUGUAAAGCACUUUAAGUUGGGAGGAAGGGCAGUAAGUUAAUACCUUGCUGUUUUGACGUUACCAACAGAAUAAGCACCGGCUAACUUCGUG
rnacentral:rRNA from 1 species